CAUCGGGGGGAUUGCCUCAGUUACGGCGAGUGAAGCGGCAAAAGCUCAAAUUUGAAAUCUAGCACUUUCAGUGUUCGAGUUGUAAUUUGAAGAAGGUAACUUUGGUUUUGGCUCUUGUCUAUGUUCCUUGGAACAGGACGUCACAGAGGGUGAGAAUCCCGUGCGAUGAGAUGCCCAAUUCCAUGUAAAGUGCUUUCGAAGAGUCGAGUUGUUUGGGAAUGCAGCUCUAAGUGGGUGGUAAAUUCCAUCUAAAGCUAAAUAUUGGCGAGAGACCGAUAGCGAACAAGUACAGUGAUGGAAAGAUGAAAAGAACUUUGAAAAGAGAGUGAAAAAGUACGUGAAAUUGUUGAAAGGGAAGGGCUUGAGAUCAGACUUGGUAUUUUGCGUUCCCUUCCUUUUUGGUUGGGUUCCUCGCAGUUUACUGGGCCAGCAUCGGUUUGGAUGGUAGGAUAAUGACAUUGGAAUGUAGCUUUACUUCGGUGAAGUGUUAUAGACUUUGUUGAUACUGCCUAUCUAGACCGAGGACUGCGUCUUUGACUAGGAUGCUGGCGUAAUGAUCUUAAGCCGCCCGUCUUGAAAAACGGAAACACAACNANAA
rnacentral:rRNA from 1 species